GGUGAAUAACAGGUGACUAACAGGUGAAUAACAGGUGAAUAACAGGUGACAAACAGGUGAAUAACAGGUGAAUAACAGGUGACCAACAGGUGAAUAACAGGUUACUAACAGGUGAAUAACAGGUUACUAACAGGUGACCAACAGGUGACUAACAGGUGAAUAACAGGUGACAAACAGGUGAAUAACAG